UCCUAUGUAGUCUAAUGGCUAGGAUUUCCCUCUUUCACAGGGAGGAUCGGGGUUCAAUUCCCCGCAUAGGAA
rnacentral:tRNA from 1 species